GACAACUACAUAAGCAGACAAAAUUGCAAAGAUCUGCCCUGUGUCGAGUAUGACAGCCACGACUCGUGGCUCUCCGGUCGGAGGGAAUGACAACCAGGGCCAGGCUCCUGAUGGACAGUCUCAGCCCCCCCUCCAACAGAAUCAGUAACACACAAGAAAGAGAGCAGACAGGAAAGUAACCCCACUGCCUCCUUAAUAGUCUUUAUAGCUUCGUCGCUGCCAAGUGCUUUAUAACCCAUGAUUCUUAGUAGAUUUAAUAAAUGAAAGGGAGUGACAGUGUUAGUAAAAAUUUCACAUUAAUGAUCAUCUUGGUUGCUGGAUGACUUUCAUAAUUUUUGGGAUGGCCUGAGG
rnacentral:sRNA from 1 species